rnacentral:rRNA from 1 species
CGUAGGGUGCGAGCGUUAAUCGGAAUUACUGGGCGUAAAGCGUGCGCAGGCGGUUUUGUAAGACAGAUGUGAAAUCCCCGGGCUCAACCUGGGACCUGCAUUUGUGACUGCAAGGCUAGAGUACGGUAGAGGGGGAUGGAAUUCCGCGUGUAGCAGUGAAAUGCGUAGAUAUGCGGAGGAACACCGAUGGCGAAGGCAAUCCCCUGGACCUGUACUGACGCUCAUGCACGAAAGCGUGGGGAGCAAACAGGAUUAGAUACCCUGGUAGUCCACGCCCUAAACGAUGUCAACUGGUUGUUGGGUCUUUACUGACUCAGUAACGAAGCUAACGCGUGAAGUUGACCGCCUGGGGAGUACGGCGCAAGGUUG